rnacentral:rRNA from 1 species
CAGUAGGGAAUUUUCCACAAUGGGCGCAAGCCUGAUGGAGCAACACCGCGUGAGUGAAGAAGGGUUUCGGCUCGUAAAGCUCUGUUGUUAAAGAAGAACACGUAUGAGGGUAACUGUUCAUACGUUGACGGUAUUUAACCAGAAAGUCACGGCUAACUACGUGCCAG